rnacentral:lncRNA from 1 species
AAAGAGUAAGAGGAAUAGAAGAAGAAGAAUUUAAUCUUCACGAUUAUUAAAAAAGUAAAGAAAAAGAAAAUUCCAACUCUAAACGCUCACAUCAAGUUGUGAAUAAACAUAUCAUACCUAAUUAAUAUAUUGAGAACAAAGAGGGAUAUCAUAGUUUAAUAUAAGAAUGAAUCUAUACAUAUACAUAUAUAUAUAAAUAUUUAAAAAAAUAUAUAUAUAUAUGUAUAUAUUAUAUGGGGACCGGAAAGUAAUGUAGUUUCUACAAAUGUCCAUUUUUUUUUAAAUAUUUUUUUUAAUCAAAAACCUGAUUGACUUGGAUCAAUUUGCUAUUAAAGAUUGUGCAUAAUAGUUGAAAAAAGUUUGUUGAUCAUGAAGAGUGAUGAUUAACAUUAUUGAUUAAAAAUAACAAAAUUAUUAGAAAUAAAUUUAUUCGUUUGAAUUUAAGAUUAGAAACCAACAUUACUUUCCGCGGUCUUCUUUAUAUAUGAAGAUUAUAAAUCUAUAUACAUAUAUAUAUAUAUAUAUAGAUAUAGAUAUAUAUAUGUAUGUAUAUAUAUAUGCGAAAAAGAAAAAAAAUAGAAUAAUUAUAUAUGCGUUACGUCGAACGAUCGUAGAUCUAUCAUGGUAGAAUAUUUCGGCAACUAUUAUAAGUCGAUCGUUAAAUAAUUCUGUCUCUCUCUCUCUCUCUCUCUCUCUCUUUCCUUUCCUCUAUCUUUCUAUCUUUCUAUAUCUAUCUCUCUUUCACUAUUUCACCUAUUUCCUAAUUCUAAUCGCCGUCGUCGUAGUUAAGAGAAGAUAAAAUGAAAAAAAUAUUGUCAAGAAAAUUCUUUUAUUAACCGAAUUAGAAUCUACCAGAGAUAACAAACAAACAAACAAACAAACAAAAAAAAAAGAAAAAUCAUCUACUCAGAUAAUUAUAUCGUUAUUAUAAUAAUUAUCUGAAGAAAAUAAUGCGCGAAAUAAUUUUAACACGUUGAACGUUACACAAAUUCUUACGGAAAUCUUUGUCAGGUGUCAAAUCACUUGUGUCUGACAUACUUGAACAUGAAGUUCAUUGUCAGUCACUUAUGACUGACGUGAGUCUGAAUGUGAAGUUCAUUGCCAGUCACUUAUGACUGACAUGGUCUGAAUGUGAAGUUCACUUUCAGUCACAUAUGACUGACGUGGGUCUGAACAUGAAGUUCAUUGUCAGUCACAUAUGACUGACGUGGGUCUGAAUGUGAAAUUCAUUGUCAGUCAUAUAUGACUGACGUGAGUCUGAAUGUGAAGUUCAUUUUCAGACACAUAUGACUGACGUGGCAUUCAACGAAUUAAAUGGCCUGAAUGACAAGGUCAGAUAAAAAGGAACAUUGGCAACGGAACGUGUUAAUAAGAGAAAGAUAAUAUUAUCUGAAAAUAAGUACGAGAUAAAAAGAAGUAGGAAAGAAGAUAAAAAAAGAACAGCGCAACUACUAAUGCAUAAACCAUACCACCACCACCACUACCACCACCACCACCACUACCACCACCACCACCACUACUCCUACCUUCCAUAUAGUCGAGAAAGAGAACUAUGAUGAUUGUUAUUACAUUAAUUUCAUUGAAAUAUUAUAUCUAUAUGUGUAAAGUUAUUAUAUAUAGAUAAAACGAAUGCUUUCUUAAAGCGUACGUCGCGUUUCGUCACAUAGCACACACCUACCUAUAUAUAUCUACUAUAAUAUUCAUUUUUUUUUUUUAAUAUGAAUGAAAUGUCUCAGUUAGAUGAUAAUUAUACAUAUUACAUAUAUAUAUCUAUAUAUAUAUAUAUAUAUAAAAAAAAUAAAUCAUGAUGACGAUCAUGAUGUUAGAUGGCGUGCCAAGCGAGACGGGAAUUGUUUCUUAAAACAAAACAAAAUAAAACAAAAGAAAAAAAAAGUAAAUAAA